GGUGAUGAGCUUCUUUCAGACUCCUUCCCCUACAAGGAACUCUUGAAUGGGAUCCUAUGAGAAGUUGAAGGAAAGAAUCUGAUCAAAUUGGGCCAUAAUCUGAAGAAAUGUGUUUAAGCUACGACAAGGUAUGAUAAAAAAAUAUAAAAGCUGCU